rnacentral:tRNA from 1 species
GUAGAUUUAAUAGUAUCGGUGGUUUCCUAAACCGCGUCUUGCGGGGGUUCGAGUCCCUCCGGGUGCGCCA